GACGAACGCUAGCGGCGUGCUUAACACAUGCAAGUCGAACGGAAAGGCCCUGCUUUUGUGGGGUGCUCGAGUGGCGAACGGGUGAGUAACACGUGAGUAACCUGCCCUUGACUUUGGGAUAACUUCAGGAAACUGGGGCUAAUACCGGAUAGGAGCUCCUGCUGCAUGGUGGGGGUUGGAAAGUUUCGGCGGUUGGGGAUGGACUCGCGGCUUAUCAGCUUGUUGGUGGGGUAGUGGCUUACCAAGGCUUUGACGGGUAGCCGGCCUGAGAGGGUGACCGGCCACAUUGGGACUGCGAUACUGCCCAGACUCCUACGGGAUGCAGCAGUGGGGAAUAUUGCAGAAUGGGCGGAAGCCUGAUGCAGCAACGCCGCGUGCGGGAUGACGGCCUUCGGGUUGUACACCGCUUUCGCCUGUGACGAAGCGUGCGUGACGGUAAUGGGUAAAGAAGCACCGGCUAACUACGUG
rnacentral:rRNA from 1 species